rnacentral:rRNA from 1 species
UACGUAGGGUCCGAGCGUUGUCCGGAAUUACUGGGCGUAAAGAGCUCGUAGGUGGUUGUCGCGUUGUUCGUGAAAACUCACAGCUUAACUGCGGGCUUGCGGUUGAUACGGGCGGGCUAGAGUUCGGUAGGGGAGACUGGAAUUCCUGGUGUAGCGGUGAAAUGCGCAGAUAUCAGGAAGAACACCCGUGGCUAAGGCGGUUCUCUAGUACGGUACUGACGCUGAGACGCGAAAGCGUGGGAGCGAACAGG